CCUACGGGGCGCAGCAGUGGGGGAUAUUGCACAAUGGGGGGAACCCUGAUGCAGCGACGCCGCGUGGGUGAAGAAGCGCCUCGGCGCGUAAAGCCCUGUCAGCAGGGAAGAAAAUGACGGUACCUGAAGAAGAAGCCCCGGCUAACUACGUGCAGCAGCCGCGGUAAUACGUAGGGGGCAAGCGUUGUCCGGAAUGACUGGGCGUAAAGGGAGCGUAGGCGGCCUUGUAAGUUAAAUGUGAAAUCCUACGGCUUAACCGUA
rnacentral:rRNA from 1 species